GACGGAGGGGGCAAGCGUUGUUCGGAUUUACUGGGCGUAAAGGGCGCGUAGGCGGCAAAUUAAGUCAGCUGUGAAAUCUCCGAGCUUAACUCGGAACUGUCAGCUGAUACUGAUCUGCUAGAGUGCGGAAGGGGCAAUCGGAAUUCUUGGUGUAGCGGUGAAAUGCGUAGAUAUCAAGAGGAACACCUGAGGUGAAGACGGGUUGCUGGGCCGACACUGACGCUGAGUGCGCGAAAGCCAGGGGAGCAAACGGG
rnacentral:rRNA from 1 species